GGAGGUAGUGACUAUCAAUAACGAGACAGAUCUCUUUGAGGUCUGUCAUUGCAAUGAGCACAACUUAAAGACUUUAACGAAGUCUAUGGGAGGGCAAGUCUGGUGCCAGCAGCCGCGGUAAUUCCAGCUCCCAACGUGUAUAUCGUCAUUGCUGCGGUUAAAAAGCUCGUAGUUGGAUCUUAGCUCAUGUCGGUAGUUCUCCAUGUGAGAUACUGCUCGGCUGAGCUGUUUCGCCGGUUUUCCGUAGUUUCGGCUGCGGUGACUGGUGUUGUAACUUUGAUUAAAUCAAUGUGAUUAAAACAGGCGUUUGCUUGAAUGCUUUAUCAUGGAAUAAUAGAAUAUGACUUCGGUCCAUUCUGUUGGUCUUGGGAUCGAAGUAAUGAUUAAAAGGAACAACUCGGGGGCAUCCGUAUCGCUGCGUGAGAGGUGAAAUUCUUGGACCGCAGCGAGACGACCUAUUGCGAAAGCAUUUGCCAAGAAUGUUUUCAUUAA
rnacentral:rRNA from 1 species